CGGCAACAGCUCAAAUUUGAAAUCUGGCGCCCCUGGGCGUCCGAGUUGUAAUUUGCAGAGGAUGCUUCGGUACCGGCGCUGCUCCAGGUUCUUUGGAACAGGACGCCACAGAGGGUGAGAGCCCCGUCUCUGGGCGGCAGUCGGUACCAUGUGAAGCGCCUUCGAC
rnacentral:rRNA from 1 species